GCCUCCAUAGCUCAACUGGUAGAGCAGCUCGCUCUUAACGAGAAGGUUGCAGGUUCGAGCCCUGCUGGGGGCA
rnacentral:tRNA from 1 species